AACGAACGCUGGCGGCAGGCUUAACACAUGCAAGUCGAGCGCCCCGCAAGGGGAGCGGCAGACGGGUGAGUAACACGUGGGAACCUUCCUCGAGGUACGGCACCACUCAGGGCAACUUUAGCUAAUAGCGUAUACGCUCUUUCGCGGAAAGAUUUAUCGCGUUUAUACGGGCGCGCGUCGGAUUAGCUAGUUGGUGGGGUAACGGCCUACCAAGGCGGCGAUCCGUAGCUGAUCUGAGAGGAUGAUCAGCCACACUGGGACUGAGACACGGCCCAGACUCCGACGGGAGGCAGCAGUGGGUAAUAUUGGACGAUGGGCGCAAGCCUGAUCCAGCCAUGCCGCGUGAGUGAAGAAGGCCGUCGGGUUCUAAAGCUCUUUUGCCAGGGACGAUAAUGACGGUACCUGGAGAAUAAGCCCCGGCAAACUUCGUGCCAGCCGCCGCAGUAA
rnacentral:rRNA from 1 species